CUCUGCCUGUCUGACUGACAUCUCUCAGGGGAUGUCCGCCCACCAUCUGAAAAUCAACCCCGACAAGACUGAACUACUUCUAUUUCCGGGAAAAGAUUCUCCUACCCAGGACCUGACGGUCAACUUUGGCAACUCCGUGUUGACAGCGACUUUGACUGCUAGGAACCUCGGCGUGACUCUCGACAGCCAACUCUCCCUGACUCCCAAUAUUACUGCGACAACACGAUCCUGUAGAUACACGCUCUACAACAUCAGGCAGCCUGAUCUCCAAAACCUGUUCGUAAAAAUGUAUACGAAAAUCUUGAACAUACAAAUUUCGUAGUGAUACAUACGAAAUAAAUACGGACUGCAACUGAUGACGACAUGGUCAAUCCCGACUCGCACUCUCCGCUCUGCAUCUGCAAAACUACUCGUCCCUCCCUCACUGAGAGCAAAACACUCGACUAGAUCUCGACUCUUUCCUGUCCUUGCUCCAAAAUGGUGGAACGAGCUCUCUGAAGACACCAGGACCGCAGAGAGCCUUCACAUCUUCUGCUGCAAACUAAAGACACACCUCUUCAGACUCUACCUCGACUAAAUGACUAACAAAUUGUAGCACUUAAAUUGUACUUAUAACGCCAUCUAUAGCAAAUUGUAAAUUGGCUUAUUUGAUGAAAUUGAAUUUUUUUAUUUUUUGUUCUUCUGGGUUUGUGUCCCUAUGGUUGAAUGCACUUAUUGUAAGUCGCUUUGGAUAAAAGCAUCAGCUAAAUGACAUGUAAUGUAAUGAAGAUGAUGAGGAUGAGGAUGUUAGCGCUUUGCAGAGGAGCGAGUUCUCACAGUGGACCCGCCUGUCGGCUCCAACAGCAGCUCGUCUACUGACAACAGAAACAUGGCUGUCAAUCAAAGCGUGUGUGAGGAAACAGGAAACUCGUUAUCUGUGCAUGUUCAGCUGAGGAGACUCAUGCUGCGUUCACAAAACAUCACCGUUUAUCACCGUUAAUCAAUGAGUCGUAAAUAAGGAUUGGAAAAAAAGGAUUUUCAUAAAAGCUCUGAAGACCUAAUGAUAAUGAUACAGAAGAAAGACAUCAGACAAAUCUGUGUCUGUCCAGUCUUUUAAAGCCUAAUCGAGCCAGAGAGAGACAGAGACAGACAGAGGCCAGUAGCAUGACAGU
ensembl:lncRNA